UAAGAAUCUGACCGCAGCAGCUUGGCUCACCCCAGGGAACUGGGGAUUUAACCCCAGCCUGGUGUAGUGGGUUAAAGGAUCCGGUGUUGCCAUGGCUGUAGUAUAGGUCGCAGCUUCAGCUCAGAUUCAGUCCCUGGCCUGGGAAUUUCCAUAUGCCGCAGGUGCAAUCAUAAAAAAGAAGAACACAGAGUGCCAAAGCCACAGAAGCAGCCACAGAACUUGAACUCGUAACUGUCCACAUUAUUAGGCAAGGUGUCCCACCAUCAGGACUGAAGUGGACUAGCAGAGGUUAAGGUAACCCAAGAACAUGCACUCUUUAUAUCCUGAACCAUCCUUAAUGCGCCUCUUCUUGGUACCCAGCACGUCGCUGGAUACUGUGGAUUCCAACACGGAAAAGAUAGCGAUCCUGUCUCCCAGGCACCCCAUCUGGUUUGAAAGAAACUCAGAGAGGUAAAUAGUUCCUGGACAGAGUGACAGAGGUGCACUCAAGGCAAACAAGAAUGGAUAAUUCAUGAGCAAAACCACUUGUCACUUUGGUGCCUGGAUGCUGCUCACCAAGGCUGAGCAUAUGCUAAUAAGAACGGCCAGGCAGGAGAGGAUGCCGGAAAACUGGGCCCGGCCAGGCCACAAAGGACUGUGUGUGCCAGGCUGGGAAGUUGGGGCUGAGACCUACGUCCUGCUUUUUUGUUUGGGUUUUUUGAUAUUUUCAUUUAAAUAUUGAUUAUACUUUUUUUUUUUUUGGUCUUUUUAUGGCUGCACCCAUGGCAUAUUGGAAAUUUCCAGGCUAGGGGUUGAAUCGGAGCUACAUCUGCCGGCCUACACCACAGCUACAGCAAUACGGGAUCCAAGCCAUGUCUGUGACCUACACCACAGCUCAUGGCAGUGCCAGAUCCUUAACCCACUGAGCAAAGCCAGGGAUUGAACACGUGUCCUCAAGUUUCCUAGUCAGGUUUGUUACCACUGAGCCAUGAUGGGAACUCCUGUAUUUUUAUUAUGGUAAUUGUUGGCUACUAUUAUUUGCUAUAAUGAACAUUUUUAUUUUUAUAUUUUAUUUUUUUUUGCUUUU
rnacentral:lncRNA from 1 species